ACAUAAUGGAUGAGUUUGACAUAUAUGAGUUGUUAGGUCAGAUGCCACUUCCACCCCCUCCACCUCCACCUCCACCUCCACCUCCACCUCCACCUACUCCUGAGGAGUUGAGGGAGAGAAUGAGGAGGAAUAUUGCUUCCCUCUUGAGAGAUAUUAGUACCAUUAGACAUGAUCCUCAUCCCCCUCCGCAGCUACUACGCCUUGCAUAUAGUAUGCAAGGAAUUGUCCAUUCUGUAUAGAAAUUGGAUGGGGAGUUGGAUAGACAUAACACAUUGAGGGAUUCCAUGUGUGCUUAUUAUUCUGAUGGCUUAUCUUAUAAACAGGUCAAUGAGUGAAAAACAACAAAAAAUGAUUUGAAACGUUAUUUUGUGAACCCAAAAAUGGGUGAGGAGAUAGAUCCAAAAAAGUCAUGCAUAUAUCUAUUAGAUGGUGUAGGCACCCACAGAUAGCUGCACACUUUUGGGAGCGUUGGUGGAUGGUAUUUGACCAUCCACCACACUCUAAUCAUGGGGUGCCAAUGUAUUUUUUUUUUAAAGUAUGGGCAGAAUUUGGAUUGGGUAAAAAACACAAUUACUUUGACAUCAGAUCAUUUCAGGGGAUUGGCCGAGGCAUGCCACAAGACCGAGCAGGGGCCAAAUUGAGUGGCAGAGUUAGAAAUCAAGUGCGUGAUGAUCCCCUUGUUCCUCUUCCCACACCAGUUGUUUCUGCGCUCGUUCAUCAUCGAGUAGUCGAAUCUUCUGUUGGUUCACUGAGUGCCCUUUCGAGCAAUUUGUUAGAGCAGUUGCACCAGGUGAGGGCUGCCUCCAGCAUAGCACAUGUUUGCAUGAGCUAUGGGGGUAUAUGUAUAGGUCCCGAGAGUGAUUAUUCCCAUGGAGGAGAUGGUGAUCUUGUUGAUGCCAAUGCGGCCCAUAGUGGAUAUGAUGAUGCUAACGAGGGUAUAGAUGAUGAUGCCAUAUCUUCAUAUGUUAAUCUCUUAUGCGCAGACGAUGAUCAUCCUACAUAGGAGGGUUCAUACCACGUCAUGGGGGGAGUCCCAUCAUCUUACCUCCAUACCUCGAGAUGUUGGUGCCCCGUUUACGGGUGUUUUGGGUAACAUUGAGGUUGGCAGUUCUUCGCGUCCUGGCCCAUCGAUCACUGAGGCUUAGCCUCAUAUACCCCUAGCUUUUGGGUUGUUUGAUGAUGCAUCAUGUGUCGUCCUCACCCAUCAGUGACUUUGGCUGCACAUCAAACACCAUAUGUCGACACCACUAUCACUCUUGGUAUGGCUACAGGAUUGAGCCAAAUGCAACCAUCAACAUUGUCAUUGGAGGUCAUGAUUAAAAAAAUAAAUUCUAAUUUGUCUAUUGUGUACAUGUCUUUUAUAGGGGUUAUCAAAAUUGAUGUAAUAUUUUUUAUACGAGACUUGACUGCAACCACUUUCUUUGUUCAAGAGAGUGGACGUCCUCGUACCACUGAGGGCAUUAUAGAG